rnacentral:rRNA from 1 species
GACGAACGCUGGCGGCGUGCUUAACACAUGCAAGUCGAACGGAAAGGCCCUGCUUUUGUGGGGUGCUCGAGUGGCGAACGGGUGAGUAACACGUGAGUAACCUGCCCUUGACUUUGGGAUAACUUCAGGAAACUGGGGCUAAUACCGGAUAGGAGCUCCUGCUGCAUGGUGGGGGUUGGAAAGUUUCGGCGGUUGGGGAUGGACUCGCGGCUUAUCAGCUUGUUGGUGGGGUAGUGGCUUACCAAGGCUUUGACGGGUAGCCGGCCUGAGCGGGUGACCGGCCCCAUUGGGACUGAGAUACGGCCCAGACUCCUACGGGAGGCAGCGGUGGGGAAUAUUGCACAAUGGGCGGAAGCCUGAUGCAGCAACGCCGCGUGCGGGAUGACGGCCUUCGGGUUGUAAACCGCUUUCGCCUGUGACGAAGCGUGAGUGACGGUAAUGGGUAAAGAAGCACCGGCUAACUACGUG